AAACAUUUUAUUUUUCCAAAUUCAAAAAAGAAAUUGCAAUAUGAAUAUUUUUGUAAUAGCAAUACUUUGUCUAAUAAUAAUCCUGUUAUUACAUAUAUUUUUCCACUGUACCGACCCCGUAGUAACAUCACCAUCUUCUCCUUCUUGGAAAAUAUGCAUUCGUCUUCCAAAAGAAGUGAACAUUCGUAGUAAAGUCAAAAAUACUAAACAAACAAAUAAAAUUGGUGUGAAUAAACUGAAUAAUAAAAAAUGGAAAAAAAAUAGGAGUCCUGGAAACGACAAAGCUCUCCUCAAGCUGAAAUCUAAACGAAUCCUACCAAUUGGUGGAAGUCGUAGGGAAGCUACCUAUAUUACCAAAUUUAAAAAACAAAAAAAAUUUGCAAACAAACAAAAUAAAUUCAAGGACCAGGUGGAUUUAGAAAAUCCAGAAACUUUUAAUGCUACAGAGCACCAACGGGAACAGGAAUUUGACUUGGAAGUGUGAACUGAAUGCCUACGAAACUAUUGAGAACGGAUGAAGAGAACAAUCUUAGAACAAUUUACAACUAAGAUCUAUGAGUUAUUAGUUGAGGAAAUUUCACACUUCAGGGAGUUUGAUUUUAAACAAACACCUCUUAUUAAUUUGGUGAGUAGUGGUCAAUAAGGUUAGUUUCUCGCAGAAAACAGCAAUAUGAGGACAAUGAACGGGAGGAUUAGCAAUUAAUGAAGACCAUACUGAUCUAGCUCAAAGCCCUUGUGAGAUAAUUGAUUGACAUCACAAAUAUCCAAUUUAAAUGCAUAUAUUUUGGAAAAUUUAAUAUAAUUGGAAUGAUUCCAACCGAACCCGGACAAGUAUGAACUUUUGGGUAAGGAAAAAAAUAUUAUACCAGCAACAACGUUUCAUGGGAUGCUGAUAUCAUAACAUAAUCCAGACAAAUUAUGAGAGAUAACACAAGCAUCAAAAAGGGAGAAGAUGCUAAACUCAAUAAUUUAUGUCAAAAUUAGUAAAAAUUUACUAAGUAUUUUCAAUCCAGAACAUGAAGAAUUCAAACAGUAAAAGAUUUAAGAAUAUUGUUAAAGAGGCAACAAUCUAUAAACAAACGUGAGUCUGUUUGAAGAAACAUCGUGGAGUCAAUACCUAAACCAUAUCUUAUAAAACUAAAGAUUUAGUAGAGAUUUACUAAGUAUUUUCAAUCCAGAACAUGAAGAAACCAAACAGAAAAAGAUGUAAGAAUAUGGUUAAAGAGGUAACAAACUAUAAACACACGUGAGUCUGGUUGAAGAAACAUCGUAGAGUCAAUACCUAAACCAUAUCUUAUAAAACUAAAGAUUUAGUAGAGAUUUACUAAGUAUUUUCAAUCCAGAACAUGAAGAAACCAAACAGAAAAAGAUGUAAGAAUAUGGUUAAAGAGGCAACAAACUAUAAACACACGUGAGUCUGUUUGAAGAAACAUCGUGGAGUCAAUACCUAAACCAUAUCUUAUAAAACUAAAGAUUUAGUAGAGAUUUACUAAGUAUUUUCAAUCCAGAACAUGAAGAAACCAAACAGAAAAAGAUGUAAGAAUAUGGUUAAAGAGGCAACAAACUAUAAACAAACGUGAGUCUGUUUGAAGAAACAUCGUGGAGUCAAUACCUAAACCAUAUCUCAUAAAACUAAAGAUUUAGUAGAGAUUUACUAAGUAUUUUCAAUCCAGACAUGAAGAAUUCAAACAGUAAAAUAUUUAAGAAUAUUGUUAAAGAGGCAACAAACUAUAAACAAACGUGAGUCUGUUUGAAGAAACAUCGUGGAACUACUGAUUAUUCGGUUUCAAUAUAUUAGAUAAAAUUUCAUAAUUCUUCAUACCAGUGGUCAUCUAACUUUAGAAAACAAAAUACAAAAGCAGCAACUAA